GGUCAUACUUAAUGUGUUAUUGCAUUAAUUGGAAACAUCAAGCUGUGUACAUUUAAAAUUGCAAAAAAAAAAAAAGUCAGAUGUCACUGUCCCUCAGAUUAGUGUUCGUUUGAGUGGCAGAAUUGGAAUGGCUUCUCUACUAUAAAGCAUGUUUCAUGUGAGGAGUACUAUGGAAUAUUUACACCUUAUUUUUGCAUGAAUGAAAUUUGGAGCAAGGCUGCUUCUUCUCAGGAGAGUGUCAUUCUCACUAGGCUGCCAAAUCAGACUCCAUCUUGCAUGUUGUCCUCUGGCUCUAUGAAUCUUACAUUUCUUUCCAUCUAGUCCAGCUUCAACAGGAUUCUGGUCUUGCCCAAAGACUGGUGGUUGAAGUAAGAAGCAGGAAGUGAGAGAUGUGGCGGAGUGGGGGGCCUCAACCUCAGGUGACCCAUGUUCUGGAACUGCAGAAUUUUGCUAAAGUUAUAAAAGCAGGACGACCCAAGCCGAGGAAACCCAGCAAGACUAGUGACUUCGGUGAUAUCACCAAUUGGCCAACACCAAGUGAAAUAGCAAACAAUGAAUGCAAAGUAAAUCAGAAUAAAAAGCCACCAAAUAGAAAAGAAAAGGAAGAGAAACAUGAGAAGAGAGCUAGCAAUGAAAUCAAAGAAACCCUGGAAGUAAAGCCAGAUGGUCUUGGAGAAAUUGUUAGUGAAGAUGAAGCUCAGUGUAACAGUCAAAGGAAAAAAGGUAACAAGCAAAAAUGGGUACCACUUAAUUUGGAUGAUGUAAAACCUGAUAGCCCAGAAAGACCAGGAUCUCGAAAUAGCUCAAAAUCUCAGCCUGAAACAAAUAAAUUAGCAACACCUACCAACAGAAGAACUGAGACAAGAAGCUGGCGCCGUGAUAGGGAAAAGAGAGAUGACCAUGAUGAAGUUUCCAGUGUGAGAAGUGAGGGUGGAAGUGUUCGAGGACUCUUUAGAGGCCGAGGAAGAGGUCGAGGCCGAGGAAGAGGGCGUGGCAGAGGAAACCCUAGAGUGAACUAUGAGUAUUCAUAUGGUCACCAAGAAUUGUAUGGUGAAAGGACUGAUCAGGCAUUUCAACCAGAACUUAACACUAGUAUGAUGUAUUACUAUGAUGAUGGAACGGGAGUGCAGAUGUAUUCUGUGGAUGAAACACUGCUCAAAGAAUACAUUAAACGUCAGAUUGAGUAUUAUUUCAGCACAGAAAAUUUGGAAAGAGACUUCUUUCUGAGAAGAAAGAUGGACCAACAAGGAUUCUUACCUAUUUCUUUGAUUGCCACCUUCCACCGUGUGCAAGCUCUGACUACAAAUGUUAACCUCAUCCUAGAGGCUCUAAAGGAAAGUACAGAAGUGGAAAUAAUAGAUCAGAAGAUGAGGAAAAGGAUAGAUCCAGAAAAAUGGCCAAUUCCUGGUGCCUCUCCAUGUAAUCUGCAACAGACUGACUUCUCUCAGCUCAUCAACUGCCCAGAAUUCAUACCAGGCAAAGCAUUUGGCUCUCAUACUGAGUCUGCACCAAGCUCUCCCAGAAUGGGAAGUCCAAUAAGUCCAAAGACAAGUAGUGAAACCAGUAACCUUCAAACAAUGUCUAAAGGAUUGUCUACAAGUCUGCCAGAUCUGGACUCUGAACCUUGGAUAGAAGUAAAAAAGAGACAUCAUCCAUCAACAGUUAAAUUAAAGGAAUCUGCACCUCCACUUGAUCAAACAACAAAUCAGCAAAAGCAGCCCCCACCUCGAGAGGAACAAGAGCAAGAAGAGCUUGACUUUUUAUUUGAUGAAGAGAUGGAACAAAUAGAAGGUCGCAAAAAUAAGUUUACAGAUUGGUCAGACAGCGAUUCGGAUUAUGAAAUUGAUGACCAAGAUGUAAACAAGAUUUUGAUUGUAACACAGACACCUCCUUACAUGAGAAAACAUCCUGGUGGAGAUCGUACUGGUAAUCAUGUGUCUCGUGCAAAAAUUACAUCAGAACUUGCUAAAGUCAUUAAUGAUGGUUUAUACUAUUAUGAACAGGAUUUGUGGAUGGAGCAAGGUGAGAUCGAUUCAGCAGCUAUGAAGCAAGAGGUUGAAAACUUUAAGAAGCUUAAUCUCAUUAGUAAAGAAGAGUUUGACAGUCUUGCACCUGAACCAGUCAUUGAUCCAAACCAGGAAGUUCCUCCAGGGCCUCCAAGAUCACAGCACGAUUUAACAGAUCAACUGUCUUGUAAACUGUUUGUUGUAGAAGUACCUCCAACAGCAAUGGCUCGUUCACUGCCAACAGCGGUCCCAGAGUCUCCAAGGGUUCAUCCUGCCAGAACACCCAAAACGCCUCAGACCCCACGGCUCCAAGAUCCCAACAAAACGCCAAGAUUCUAUCCUGUGGUUAAAGAAGCAAAAUCCAUUGAUGUAAAGACUCUGAGGAAGAGGAAAACACGACAUAGUACAAACCCUCCAUUAGAAAGCCAUGUUGGUUGGGUAAUGGAUUCCAGAGACCACAGGACAAGGACAUCCUCUGUGAGCAGUUCAAAUGCUUCACCCUCAGAAGGUGCCCCCCUUGCAGGAAGUUAUGGGUGUACUCCUCACUCGCUUCCCAAAUUUCAGCAUCCUUCUCAUGAACUUUUAAAGGAAAAUGGCUUUACACAACAAAUCUACCACAAAUACCGUCGAAGGUGCCUAAUGGAAAGGAAACGUUUGGGAAUUGGCCAGUCCCAAGAAAUGAACACACUUUUUCGUUUCUGGUCCUUUUUUCUCAGAGAUCACUUUAACAAGAAGAUGUAUGAGGAAUUCAGACAGCUUGCUCUAGAUGAUGCAAAAGAGCACUACAGGUAUGGAUUAGAGUGUUUGUUCAGAUUUUACAGCUAUGGUCUGGAAAAAAAAUUCAGGCAAGAGAUUUUCAAGGAUUUUCAAGAAGAAACAAAAAAGGACUAUGAAUCUGGUCAGCUGUAUGGCCUAGAAAAGUUUUGGGCUUAUUUAAAAUACUCUCAAUAUAAGACUCUACCCAUUGACCCCAAAUUGCAAGAAUACCUCAGUAACUUUAAGAGAUUGGAGGACUUCAGAGUUGAUCCUCCUAUCAGUGAAGAAUCUGGAAGAAAAAGACCUCCUAAUGGAAUUGGUGAGGAGACUGGUCAUUCUAGACACCAGUCUAAUUCCUCUACUAAGACGCUGCUUGCUGCUAGACCUUCAGCUGCCAAUCAAUCUCAGGUCCCAGGAAACUUUUCCAGUAGGAAUACUUUACAGGAGUCUAGUGACAACAUAGGCCACAACAGUGCUGCCACAAAAUCAGUAGAUGGUGACAUGCCUGAGAAAUAGACGUAAGAUGUGCUUGUGCCCUUGAGAUCAUCCUUUACAUCAGUGUUUAAGUAUAGCAUCUUCAGGGGAGCUGUUACAAUGCGCGAUUAAAAACAAAAGUAUAGGAAGACGAAGGAUUGCAUUUUUCUCUUUCACAAGAUUAAGUCUGAAAUACUUUCCCUAAUAACCUUUUCCAGAUCACAGUUCACAACUCAGGCUUCAGAUGUGGUUGUGAACUUUUUUACAUACAUGGAUGAAAAUAGGUGAAAACAGAGGCUGAGCAUAUCCAGGCUUUCGGCAGUUUUGACUGAAUCAUUUUCGUGAGAAGUAAACUAAAGUUUUUUAUGCUGUGAGAGGACAAGUCUAGCAUCACGUGGAUUCCACUUUUGGUAAAUGCUCCAUACAUGCAAGAUCUGAGGUUUUUUUGAAUAGUGGCAUCCAUGCUUCAUAGUAAGUAAUGUAAAGAGAAGAAUUGCAAUAACUGCCUUUAAAUUACUUCUUGCUCCCUGUGACAGUUAGAUGGAACUUCUGCAUGGGCUGUACACACUGGUUGCAUCUACACUUGCAGUUUAUUAUGCAGUAGAUUCAUUUACUGCACAGUAAAGCAUCAUUGUCUACACGUGCAUGGCAAUUGGGACAGUGUAGACUAAUUUACAGCACCACUGGAUAAUCCCAUCAGACACAGGUACUAUUUGAAAGUGGAUAGUAUCCGACUGCACUUAAACACAAAUGUAGGCAGUGAUGUUGGGAUUAGUUUACUCUGGCUUAAAUUGUUCCAGAGUUUAUUUAGUUGCAUUCAUUACAGACGUGGACGUGCCCACUUUGUGCUUGUUUUCUCUGGUUAGUAGGUUAUAGUGGUAUGGUCGAUUCUUAGCAUAGUUACACCAUUAAAAGAGUAUGAAAGAAAAGUUGUUCAGAUCCAGGUAGUGACAGAUGCUACUCCCUUCCUUCUGUCAUGGCUUUGUGUGGUUGAGAUAACCAGGAUUUAUAUUUUGCUCCUUCUAUACUGGGUAGCUGUUCUGGAUGGACACUUUGGGCAUGUCCAGACAAGUGCAGAGGUGCGGUAUGUGGUGCCACAGACCUGUCUGCGGCUCCACACACUGAACAUGUAGGCAUUUCCCAAGCUGCUACUUUGCAGCACAGGGGGGCUUUUUGACCCUGGAAGAUCCUGGAGUAAAAAAAAUCCACACCAAGAAAAAAGUGGGGCAGCGCACAUUGCGGCAGCGUGUGCUACCCAAAACCAGAGCCUGACCAGCCAGAGCCACACUUUGACUGCCGGCCAGGCUUCCUGCUCCUGCUGUGGCUACAGCUCCUGGAGGCCCCCAGGACCCCAGGUAAGGCUCCUGGGGCCAGCACAACUGCUGGCCCCAGCCUCUCCUAUUCCCCACUUCCCCCCUGGGGUAACCUACCAUGCACCAGAACACACACGGCACAGGUAUUUGCCAAGGACAAGUUUUGCUUCUCAUCCUCAGGGAGAAACCCGUUCCUGCUUGUCUGGAUGCACCCUUGAGGUGCCCUCUUCUGCCUUAGUCAAGUGUUAUACUUAGUGCUAAGAGAGGAAACAGAAACAAGGAAAUUGCUUCUUAAACUCUUCCUUCUGGAGAAAUCCAUAAGGGCAUGACAAUUACCAGACUUUCUCUGUGUGCUCUGGUCAACUGUGGAUCCAUUCCUGACUCAUUUGACUUCAAGGAACUCUUCCUCGGCCUUGAGGCCUGAGCUAAAUUUGAGUCCCGUUGCUGUCAUCAGACUUUCUGAAAUGGUGCCACAGUUAUGCCUUGAAUGUUAUUAAAACAAACAUUCUCCCCACCUCCCUUUUUUCUUCCUCCUUUCAUUUUAUCUCUCUCUCACUGAUACUGUGUGUAAACAUGAGCCAGACAGUUUGUCAGCAAUCAGUACUGCCCCUGGAUAGUGUAAUGGAAUCAGACAAAACAUUUGGCACUGAUGUUGCUGUUAUCUUCAGUAUUUUUUGCUGUGCCAUCUACUGGUAAAACUCAGUGUUGCUAAGUAAAUUGUCCAGUUCUACUAAUUUUGUCUCAAAUAAGCACAUUUCUAUCUCAAACAACCUACAGAAGGAGCUUACCCUGCUUCUCCAAAUAGUCUUUUUUCCUACACAGCUGCCUUUUGUAAUUUUUUUUUUACUUCUUUAAGAUGCAAUACAAAAAUCAGAAAAACAUACCAACUUGUACACUAUAAACUGUCACAAACAAUAAGCAAUGCAAGGAAAAAGAACAAAAGGAGGGACAGAAGAAGAGAAGCAUACAAUGAGCAACAAUCUAGAGUCCUCCCAAAAUUUUGCACUAAACAUGAAGGAAUUAAUCCUGUUAACCUUGACUCUCCGUAGAUGCUAGCUGUGCCAUCUCCAACUGUACCACAUUUUAGCCUUUGGAGAUAUCGCUACACUGAAAAGUAGGACAUAAUCCUACAUGUUACUAAUGAGGCCUGCAAUAGGUAUGCAAUUUUAUAAGGAUUCAAUCUUAAUUCCUUGAGGAUAGACCCAAGAACAUACAUAUUUGUCAAAGGUAUCAAGUGUUAUGUUCAAAACCAUGUUAACUUCAGUUAUAAUUUCUUUCCAAAAGUAAUUAAAGGGCAUGAUCAAAAUGUGACCAAGGGUCGCCUGCUAUACAUCACAUCUCCAACAUGUAUCUAUUGGCAGCAUAUUUAAUUUUUUAAGCUAGGAGGAAGCCUUGUGCAGAUGAAAACAUCUUUGAUUAAGUCUAAGGUCAAUUGUUAAUGUUCAAAUGUUGUGAAUUGCUGAUUUACAUUAAGAUCGUCAUCUAGGCUGCUUUCAAACAAAAACACCCCUGCAGUGCCUUAAAUUUUGCGCCCAGCACAUGGCCAGACGAAGCAGCACGUUAGUUGGACCUGGCUCACCCAACAUCUGCAUAGAUUGGGUGCUUUAGUGGGGCUUUUCUGGUACUUUUAUCUAAUAGCUGAUUGAAUCCUCGUUGUAGAAAAGUACCAAGAAGCUCCACUGAAGCAACCAAUCUAUACAGACACUGCAGAGCCAGAUCAAAGUAACCUGCUGCCUCUUUUGGCAAAGUGUGUUUUUUGGGGGUUUUUGGUUUGUAUUUUUUUUUAACGUCUGCAAGCAGGCUGGAAACCUAGGUUUCCAUUCCAUUUAAGUCUUAAUUAGUGACUGUCUCUUCUAUUUGGAUGGUAAAGCUAGCACUUCUGGCCUGUUGGUGUCAACGGCAAGAGUAACAUGAUAGAACUGUAAUUUAGCUGUCCUACAGCUGAUUAGACCUUAUCUACACACAGCACCAGUAAUUUAACUAAACUGGUGCAAUCCUAUUUGUGUACAUGUAAUGGGUGCUUAAGGUUAAUUAUGUAUAACUCUAUUACAUACUCCUUUAUUUCGCCAGAUUUUAGUUUCUUCCAUAAAUUUUCUGGCUUGAGCCAGAUCACUUAGAAUAAUCAACAGAGGUUUGGUUAUUUUCAACUGCAUGUUCGUCUUCAUCUCAAGUAGUAGAGUGUAGAAUCUGUUCUGACAGUAUUACAUUUUAGGAGACUCAUAGCAGGAGUCAGUGCUUUCACUGAAUAGUUACUUGUAGAAGGUGGGGACCUACAGUCUGUCAUCACAGGUGCCUCUCUCCAAGAUUCAUUCAGCCUGUAUCCUACAGGCUAUGGCUACUGCAGCGUUUUAAGUUCUUUAAUAGGCUAAGUAUCUGACUUUCAAUAACUGCACAUGUAAAGUCAUUCUUUUUUACAUGCUAUGGGACAUUUAACUUGUGCAAUCACUUAAGUUGUUAGGAUAGAGUUAGGUUGCAGCUAUCUUUUCAGCUCAGUUACACAGCUUUACUCAGUUGUCCAUGUGAGAACACAAAUAAUACAACCAGUCAAGAAGAGGAGAGAGAGAGAGAGAGAGAGAGAGAGAGAGAGGGAAGUCUGUACUACUCAUGCUGAUUGGUGGUUAAAUGUACCAUAGCCACUUGAAAGUUGGCAUCUUACAGGCAGGAACAUAUCGAGAUAAUUAGGCUAAAAAAGGAGGGGAAAUUUUACUUUCUUCUCUCAUUGAGAGAAUGAAUGUGGAUAGCCAUUAGCAGAAGCCCAGGAGAGUCUAUCUUGAAGGUUGUUGAUUGGCUUGACAUGCAUUUGAACCUCAAAUAUAUAGGACCAAUUGGAGGCUUUUCUUUCCUCCUGCACCCAACACAUUUCUCUCUACAGUUCUAGAUCCACUAUCCUUCACUAUAUCCACUACACUUCGAGCUUCAGUGUCUUGUCUUACCUGUGCUCUAACAUUUGUUUAACAUCUCUCCCACUUAGAGAGUUGGUGCAAUAAAAAAAAAUGAUGCAAACAAUCCUUGUUUCAUAUAUAUUCUGGAUGGUCACUGCUCCAGCAAC